AACUCUCAACCCCCUUGUUUUGUAACGAAGCAGGCGUGGGCUUGGAUUAUGGCUGUCUGCUGGACUCUUUAAUUAGAGAUCGGCUCGGCUGAAAUACACGAGUAACCCAGUUUGAACAUUAACGGCUUGACUCGGCGUAAUAGCUUUAUUUCGCUGAGGACGUUUCAUAUCAAGAUAGUGGUGCUUCUAAUGCAUUUAUAAUUUAAGC
rnacentral:misc_RNA from 1 species